UGGGCUCGCGGCCUAUCAGCUUGUUGGUGAGGUAACGGCUCACCUAGGCUAUGACGGGUAGCUGGUCUGAGAGGACGAUCAGCCUCACUGGAACUGAGACACGGUCCAGACACCUACGGGUGGCAGCAGUCGAGAAUCAUUCACAAUGGGCGAAAGCCUGAUGGUGCAACGCCGCG
rnacentral:rRNA from 1 species